AAAUCCUUUAAAAACAGUCCCGUGAGGCUGACAAGGAAGUCAAUAGGUUUUUAAUUUUGUGUAGUUAUGUCGUGUCUUCCUUGUAUUAGAGGAGGACAUUUUUUAU
rfam:Fervidicella metallireducens AeB contig00032, whole genome shotgun sequence.